rnacentral:rRNA from 1 species
CAUGUCUAAGUAUAAGCACUCAUACUGUGAAACUGCGAAUGGCUCAUUAAAUCAGUUAUCGUUUAUUUGAUAGUACCUUUACCUGGAUAACCGUGGUAAUUCUAGAGCUAAUACAUGCUAAAAAUCCCGACUUCGGAAGGGAUGUAUUUAUUAGAUAAAAAACCAAUGCCCUUCGGGGCUCCUUGGUGAUUCAUAAUAACUCAACGAAUCGCAUGGCCUUGCGCUGGCGAUGGUUCAUUCAAAUUUCUGCCCUAUCAACUUUCGAUGGUAGGAUAGUGGCCUACCAUGGUCUCAACGGGUAACGGGGAAUUAGGGUUCUAUUCCGGAGAGGGAGCCUGAGAAACGGCUACCACAUCCAAGGAAGGCAGCAGGCGCGCAAAUUACCCAAUCCCAAUUCGGGGAGGUAGUGACAAUAAAUACUGAUACAGGGCUCUUUUGGGUCUUGUAAUUGGAAUGAGUACAAUCUAAAUCCCUUAACGAGGAACAAUUGGAGGGCAAGUCUGGUGCCAGCAGCCGCGGUAAUUCCAGCUCCAAUAGCGUAUAUUAAAGUUGUUGCCGUUAAAAAGCUCGUAGUUGAACCUUGGGUCUGGCUGAUCUGUCCUCCUAAUCGAGCGCACGGAUUCGGUCGGACCUUUCCUUCUGGGGAGCUGCAUGCCCUUCACUGGGCGUGUCGGGGAACCAGGACUUUUACCUUGAAAAAAUUAGAGUGUUCAAAGCAGGCCUUUGCUCGAAUACAUUAGCAUGGAAUAAUAGAAUAGGACAGAGGUUCUAUUUUGUUGGUUUCUAGGACCGCUGUAAUGAUUAAUAGGGAUAGUCGGGGGCGUCCGUAUUCAAUUGUCAGAGGUGAAAUUCUUGGAUUUAUUGAAGACGAACUACUGCGAAAGCAUUCGCCAAGGAUGUUUUCAUUAAUCAGUGAACGAAAGUUAGGGGAUCGAAGACGAUCAGAUACCGUCGUAGUCUUAACCAUAAACUAUGCCGACUAGGGAUCGGACGGUGGUUUUUUUAUGCCCCGUUCGGCACCUUACGAGAAAUCAAAGUGUUUGGGCUCGGGGGGAG